rnacentral:rRNA from 1 species
GUAGGUGGCAAGCGUUGUCCGGAAUUAUUGGGCGUAAAGCGCGCGCAGGCGGUUCUUUAAGUCUGAUGUGAAAGCCCACGGCUCAACCGUGGAGGGUCAUUGGAAACUGGAGAACUUGAGUACAGAAGAGGAAAGCGGAAUUCCACGUGUAGCGGUGAAAUGCGUAGAGAUGUGGAGGAACACCAGUGGCGAAGGCGGCUUUCUGGUCUGUAACUGACGCUGAGGCGCGAAAGCGUGGGGAGCAAACAGGGAUUAGAUACCCUGGUAGUCCACGCCGUAAACGAUGAGCGCUAAGUGUUAGGGGGUUUCCGCCCCCUUAGUGCUGCAGCUAACGCAUUAAGCACUCCGCCUGGGGAGUACGGCCGCAAGGCUG